rnacentral:rRNA from 1 species
UUCCGGUUGAUCCUGCCGGAGGACAUUGCUAUUGGGAUUCGAUUUAGCCAUGCUAGUCGAGCGAGUUUGGACUCGCGGCGAAUAGCUCAGUAACACGUGGCCAAGCUACCCUUCAGUCAGCGAUACCCUCGGGAAACUGAGGUUAACAGCUGAUACAAAACGCUUGCUGGAAUGCGGCGUUUCAGAAAGAUCACGCUGAAGGAUGCGGCUGCGGCCGAUUAGGUAGACGGUGGGGUAACGGCCCACCGUGCCAGUAAUCGGUACGGGUGAUGAGAGUCAGAGCCCGGAGACGGAAUCUGAGACAAGAUUCCGGGCCCUACGGGGCGCAGCAGGCGCGAAACCUUUACACUGCACGGAAGUGCGAUAGGGGAAUCCCAAGUGCGAGGGCAUAUUAGCCCUCGCUUUUCUCGACUGUAAGG